rnacentral:rRNA from 1 species
GAGUAAUGUCUGGGAAACUGCCUGAUGGAGGGGGAUAACUACUGGAAACGGUGGCUAAUACCGCAUAACGUCGCAAGACCAAAGAGGGGGACCUUCGGGCCUCUUGCCAUCAGAUGUGCCCAGAUGGGAUUAGCUUGUUGGUGAGGUAACGGCUCACCAAGGCGACGAUCCCUAGCUGGUCUGAGAGGAUGACCAGCCACACUGGAACUGAGACACGGUCCAGACUCCUACGGGAGGCAGCAGUGGGGAAUAUUGCACAAUGGGCGCAAGCCUGAUGCAGCCAUGCCGCGUGUAUGAAGAAGGCCUUCGGGUUGUAAAGUACUUUCAGCGGGGAGGAAGGUGUUGUGGUUAAUAACCGCAGCAAUUGACGUUACCCGCAGAAGAAGCACCGGCUAACUCCGUGCCAGCAGCCGCGGUAAUACGGAGGGUGCAAGCGUUAAUCGGAAUUACUGGGCGUAAAGCGCACGCAGGCGGUCUGUCAAGUCGGAUGUGAAAUCCCCGGGCUCAACCUGGGAACUGCAUUCGAAACUGGCAGGCUUGAGUCUUGUAGAGGGGGGUAGAAUUCCAGGUGUAGCGGUGAAAUGCGUAGAGAUCUGGAGGAAUACCGGUGGCGAAGGCGGCCCCCUGGACAAAGACUGACGCUCAGGUGCGAAAGCGUGGGGAGCAAACAGGAUUAGAUACCCUGGUAGUCCACGCCGUAAACGAUGUCUACUUGGAGGUUGUGCCCUUGAGGCGUGGCUUCCGGAGCUAACGCGUUAAGUAGACCGCCUGGGGAGUACGGCCGCAAGGUUAAAACUCAAAUGAAUUGACGGGGGCCCGCACAAGCGGUGGAGCAUGUGGUUUAAUUCGAUGCAACGCGAAGAACCUUACCUGGUCUUGACAUCCACAGAAGAAUCCAGAGAUGGAUUUGUGCCUUCGGGAACUGUGAGACAGGUGCUGCAUGGCUGUCGUCAGCUCGUGUUGUGAAAUGUUGGGUUAAGUCCCGCAACGAGCGCAACCCUUAUCCUUUGUUGCCAGCGGUUAGGUCGGGAACUCAAAGGAGACUGCCAGU